UACGUAGGGGGCAAGCGUUGUCCGGAUUUAUUGGGCGUAAAGAGCGUGUAGGCGGCCUUACAGGUCAGCUGUGAAAACUCGAGGCUCAACCUCGAGACGUCGGUUGAAACCACCUGGCUAGAGUCCGGAAGAGGAGAGUGGAAUUCCCGGUGUAGCGGUGAAAUGCGCAGAUAUCGGGAAGAACACCCGUGGCGAAGGCGGCUCUCUGGGACGGUACUGACGCUGAGACGCGAAAGCGUGGGGAGCGAACAGG
rnacentral:rRNA from 1 species